CACAUGCAAGUCGAACGGGAUCUGCGUGGCCUUUGUGGUUGUGUGGUGAGAGUGGCGAACGGGUGAGUAACACGUGAGUAACCUGCCUUUUUCUUUGGGAUAACGCUCAGAAAUGGGUGCUAAUACUGGAUGUUCUGCGCUUUCCGCAUGGGGGGUGUGGGAAAGGGGCCUUUGUGGUUUCUGGAGGGAGAUGGGCUCGCGGCUUAUCAGCUUGUUGGUGGGGUGAUGGCUUACCAAGGCUUUGACGGGUAGCCGGCCUGAGAGGGUGGGCGGUCACAUUGGGACUGAGAUACGGCCCAGACUCCUACGGGAGGCAGCAGUGGGGAAUUUUGCACAAUGGGGGGAACCUUGAUGCAGCGACGCCGCGUGAGGGAUGGAGGCCUUCGGGUUGUGAACCUCUUUCGCUCGUGUGCAAGCCGCUAUUUGGGUAGUGGUGAGUGUAGCGGGUAAAGAAGCGCCGGCUAACUACGUGCCAGCAGCCGCGGUAAUACGUAGGGCGCGAGCGUUGUCCGGAUUUAUUGGGCGUAAAGGGCUUGUAGGCGGUUUGUCGCGCCUGUCGUGUAAUCCUCUGGCUUAACUGGGGGUGUGCGGUGGGUACGGGCAGGCUUGAGUGCGGUAGGGGAGAUUGGAAUUCCUGGUGUAGCGGUGGAAUGCGCAGAUAUCAGGAGGAACACCGGUGG
rnacentral:rRNA from 1 species